UCCAAGUAAGUCUUGAUUUCCUACCUCCC
rnacentral:sRNA from 1 species